rnacentral:rRNA from 1 species
UACGUAGGGACCUAGCGUUGUCCGGAAUCAUUGGGCGUAAAGCGCGCGUAGGCGGCCCGGUAAGUCCGUUGUAAAAGUCCAGGGCUCAACCCUGGAAAGCCGGUGGAUACUGUCGGGCUAGAGUCCGGAAGAGGCGAGUGGAAUUCCUGGUGUAGCGGUGGAAUGCGCAGAUAUCAGGAGGAACACCGAUGGCGAAGGCAGCUCGCUGGGACGGUACUGACGCUGAGGCGCGAAAGCGUGGGGAGCGAACAGG